rnacentral:rRNA from 1 species
GUCUAUGGCCGUGCACCCUUAGCAUACCCGAUCCCGUCUGAUCUCAGAAGCUAAGCAGGGUCAGGCCUGGUUAGUACUUGGAUGGGAGACCACCUAGGAAGACUGGGUGCUGUAGGCA